UAAUUACCUGUCACUCUUCGACAACUACAACUUUCUAUUGUUAUUAUUGCUUUUGUCCUUAAUUAUGUUCCUUAAUUUCGAUGAAAAUUCAUUACUUUGUGAAAAGAUCUUCCGCAACUACCGUAUUAUAUAAUAAUAAAUUCAUGACAACUUAAUUCAUGAAUAAAUUACCCAACAAUUAUGUGGAAUUAAUUUUUUGUGACUAUAAUCAUAUAUAAAACCUGUACUUAGGUCUUCUUCUUCUUCUUGUUUUAGGACGAGUCCUGUCUUUCUUGUCUUUGUCCUGCCUCUUGUGAUCCUGGUGUUCAACGUUUAGGCGACCUACCGGGUGAACGAGACGUACUUGAAUGUUCAAGAAAUUUACUCUGGGAAUAAAGGUCACAUUGGAUUUAUUAAAGAUUGAUCAAUCAACAAGCUAGCAGGGGCGCGGUAAAUUGGUGCAGCGGCUGAAUCAGAGCUAUUGGCAAAUUAGGUAAGCUAACUUUAAUCCGCUUUGCAGUUCUGCACACAUUUGACAUUCAUCGACGGAGUAACGUAGGAUUAAAAGGCUAUUAUGCUAAAUACCUGAAAAUUAAUCAUGGUUUAUCAUGAAAAGUCUUAAACACAUACUUGUGAGACGCUUUAAAUGUGCUGCUUGAUAAAACUAUUGAUAUUACUACUGAUUGUGAGAAAGACGCAAUUGCCAGCCAUUCGAGUUUUUUUUUAAAACAAAUAUGUAUACGUACAUACGAUUGAAUAAAAAAGUGCAGCCAUGUAUUUUCGUUCAAAGAUUUGGCGGGCAAGGAAACCUCAGCAAAAAUCUAUAAACAUCCUCGAAGUUGGACGAAGUUUCGCCCAGGGAAUUUAGUUACUCUCUUCGCACUGCAAGAAUUUACAGCGAUUAAAACGUUUUCAUUAGGUUUAUUCAAUGCCAUAGAAUUUGUUUACGGAUAACAUAAGCCAUCAAGCCUGAGGCUAGCGAUAGGGGCAGUCGGUUCGUUGAUUUGCGCCGACGAAAUUCAAAUAUCUUCUACCGUUGCAUUUGGCAAACGUUCUACGUAGUCUGUUCGUAGCCCGGGGCUCAUUCGCCAAUCACGGUGCGCGGUACUUCUUUUUUUCCCCCUCUUUCUUUUGCCCGCUUUCAUACGUGCGUUCACCAUUCUUUCUGCCGCUGCAAGGGAACAUCACCGCGUCUCUAAUCGUACGAUGUUACAGUUUCCGUUUUUCUUCCCGAGUUCCAUUACUCCUCGCGAUCCCGCAAAAAUCGCGAACGUUGUAUUCAGGCAGAAUCAGCGAAUCAUUAGAGAAUAUGUAAAGAGGUAACGGUUUUCAUUAGGCAAGGAUUAAAUUUACAUUGGAAGUCUCGACCACAUGAUUCAAGAAAGCGUUGAUUCUGAUUUCCUUAACAAAUUAACUCUGUUAAUUAUUCGGAAUAUUAUUGAAUUCAGUUACUGUUGGAUUGCUCUAAGGACUCUCUCGCAUUGAUUUGUGCAAUCUCGCUAGGUCGCCAAUUCAACGGAACAAAAAGUAAAGACUACAAUAAAAAAAUGUUUACAUAUUUUCUGUAAUAAAUAUGAAAUAUAUGGAAAGUGAAACUUCAACGUAAGGAAGCGACGUAAUUAUUAUGACAAAUCUAAUUUUGUUCUUGUAUUUUACAUUUUUUUAAAUAUAUAAUUGCAUUUGCAUAAUAUAA